GUUUGUGGUGGUGAAUAAGCAUCUUCUUCAUGACUUAACCGAGAUGGGUUUUCGGACGUCUGUCAUUAAGAACAAGAUCAUACAUGCUGAUGGUUCAGUCCAAAAUAUUCCAAAAAUACCUCAUGAACUGAAAGCAAUUUACAGGGUCUGAAGACAGGAAUGUGUUAUUUAAGAUCUCUUGCUGCAGCUGAUGCAAUUAAAUUCACUGUUCAUACAUCGAUGCUUAAGGAAAAGCCAAAAGUAGAAGAUGAUGACACAAAAGUGGCACAAAUUGUGUGUUCCCUUACAAAUCGAGAAGAGUGCAUGGCUUGUGGAAGUUAGGAGUGUAGUGGUUCCCCAUUUUGAAGCUUGCAAUAAAGGCAAUUAGGUGCUCAGGAUUUGGACUUUUACUAU